GCUGAGGGGCUCCACCAUCAUCCUCCUCAUGCACAUCAUGGUGGCCAACGUGCCCAGGGGCUGCUGGCCACCGUCACGGUGUGCCUGACCCUCACUGCCAAGCGCAUGGCCCGCAAGAACUGCCUGGUGAAGAACCUGGAGGCCGUGGAGACGCUGGGCUCCACCUCCACCAUCUGCUCGGACAAGACGGGCACGCUGACCCAGAACCGCAUGACCGUGGCCCACAUGUGGUUCGACAACCAGAUCCACGAGGCCGACACCACUGAGGACCAGUCGGGUGCCACCUUCAACAAGAGUUC